CGAAAGCGUUUUUAACAGCGCACAACCCACUGUGAACAUACCUGUUUGUUGCUUCGGCAGGCGGCCCCAGGGCGGGGCCAGCAGCCUGUACUUUUUUCAGGCGCCUGCCGGAGGCCACUUCAAACUCUUUUGUAUACGCACUGUCUGAGCCUAAAACAAAAUACGUUA
rnacentral:misc_RNA from 1 species